UCCAUUUGAUUGGCUCCUCUCCCCCAUGAGUAGUGGGGCUGUGGCUGUGGCAGCAGGUUCUGAGUGGGGGGCUCUUGCUCUUUCAGGGCCCGGUGACCUUCGAGGAGGUGGCUGUGUAUUUCACCAGGGCAGAGUGGGCUCUGCUGGACCCCGCUCAGAGAGCCCUCUACAGAGACGUCAUGCAGGAGAACUAUGAGAACGUGACCUCGCUGGAGUUUCCAGUUUUCACACCUGCUGUGAUCUCUCCCCUGGAACAAGACAAAGAGCCGAGGGUCCCAGAUCUCCACGAUUCAGAGGAAUGAGAGAUCCUGAGAGGUGCCUGCAUAGGAGAGAAGGAAUCACCCCCUACAGCAGAGGAGGAGAAGCCUCGUACCCCUAAGGCUGGGAAGUCUGCUGCCACCACUGUGAAUAGGAAACGUACGGUAGUGGUGGUCGGAGACUCUCUGCUGAGGGGGACGGAGGCGCCCAUCUGUCACCCAGACAUUUCAUCUUGAGAGGUAUGCUGCCUGCCGGGGGCCCGUAUCCGAGACGUUACAGAGGCAUUAUCGAGGAUUAUCCAGCCCUCUGACUACUACCCCAUGCUACUCAUCCAUGUGGGCACAAAUGAUACUGCGAGGUGUGACACUGAGCGGAUCAAGAGUGACUACAGAGCUCUGGGAGUACGGGUGAAGGAGUUUGGAGUGCAGGUGGUAUUCUCUUAGAUUCUUCCUGUCACAGAUAGGGGCCCGGGCAGAGACAGGUGCAUCGUGGAGGUGAAUGCCUGGCUGCGAAGACAGUGUCGCCAGGAAGGCUUUGGCUUCCUCGACCAUGGGAUGCUAUUACAGGAAGGACUGCUAGGCAGA